GUGCUCACUUCGGCAGCACAUACACUAAAAUUGGAAUGAUACAGAGAAGAUUAGCAUGGCCCCUGUGCAUGAAUGACACGAAAAUCUGCAAAGUGUUCCAUAUUUUA